UACGAACGCUGGCGGCGUGCUUAACACAUGCAAGUCGAACGGUAAGGCCCUUCGGGGUACACGAGUGGCGAACGGGUGAGUAACACGUGGGUGAUCUGCCCUGCACUUCGGGAUAAGCCUGGGAAACUGGGUCUAAUACCGGAUAGGACCACUGCCUGCAUGGGUGGCGGUGGAAAGCUUUUGCGGUGUGGGAUGGGCCCGCGGCCUAUCAGCUUGUUGGGGGGGUGAUGGCCUACCAAGGCGACGACGGGUAGCCGGCCUGGGGGGGUGACCGGCCACACUGGGACUGAGAUACGGCCCAGACUCCUACGGGAGGCAGCAGUGGGGAAUAUUGCACAAUGGGCGCAAGCCUGAUGCAGCGACGCCGCGUGAGGGAUGACGGCCUUCGGGUUGUAAACCUCUUUCAGCACCGACGAAGCGCAAGUGACGGUAGGUGCAGAAGAAGGACCGGCCAACUACGUGCCAGCAGCCGCCGUAAUAC
rnacentral:rRNA from 1 species